GGCCCGGUGGUGGAUGGCCCACACCUGCGUCUAUUGCACGACGUCAAAGGGAUACAGCAGGGGAACCCCGUUCGAUUCGGGGCCGGGCCA